CUGGCGGCGUGCUUAACACAUGCAAGUCGAACGAAGCACCUCCAUCCGUGGAAGGGAGGUAGCUUGCUACGAACGGACACACCCGAGGGUGACUGAGUGGCGGACGGGUGAGUAACGCGUGGGUAACCUGCCCCAUAGAGGGGGACAACAGUUAGAAAUGACUGCUAAUACCGCAUAGUAAGAUAGAUCCGCAUGCUUCUAUCUUGAAAGUUUUUGCGCUAUGGGAUGGACCCGCGUCUGAUUAGCUAGUUGGUGAGGUAACGGCCCACCAAGGCGACGAUCAGUAGCCGGCUUGAGAGAGUGAACGGCCACAUUGGGACUGAGACACGGCCCAAACUCCUACGGGAGGCAGCAGUGGGGAAUAUUGCACAAUGGGGGAAACCCUGAUGCAGCCGACGCCGCGUGAGUGAAGAAGUAUUUCGGUAUGUAAAGCUCUAUCAGCAGGAAAGAUAAUGACGGUACCUGACUAAGAAGCCCCGGCUAACUACGUGCCAGCCGCAGC
rnacentral:rRNA from 1 species